rnacentral:rRNA from 1 species
UACGUAGGGUGCAAGCGUUGUCCGGAAUUAUUGGGCGUAAAGGGCUCGUAGGCGGUUUGUCGCGUCGGGAGUGAAAUCCACUGGCUUAACUGGUGGCUUGCUUUCGAUACGGGCAGACUGGAGGUAUGCAGGGGAGAGCGGAAUUCCUGGUGUAGCGGUGAAAUGCGCAGAUAUCAGGAGGAACACCGAUGGCGAAGGCAGGUCUCUGGGCAUUAACUGACGCUGAGGAGCGAAAGCAUGGGGAGCGAACAGG